rnacentral:rRNA from 1 species
UCAGUGGUGAAAUCCUGGAGCUCAACUCCAGAACUGCCAUUGAUACUAUCUAUCUUGAAUAUUGUGGAGGUAAGCGGAAUAUGUCAUGUAGCGGUGAAAUGCUUAGAUAUGACAUAGAACACCCAUUGCGAAGGCAGCUUACUACGCAUAUAUUGACGCUGAGGCACGAAAGCGUGGGGAUCAAACAGGAUUAGAUACCCUGGUAGUCCACGCCCUAAACGAUGGAUACUCGACAUACGCGAUACACUGUGUGUGUCUGAGCGAAAGCAUUAAGUAUCCCACCUGGGAAGUACGUUCGCAAGAAUGAAACUCAAAGGAAUUGGCGGGGGUCCGCACAAGCGGUGGAGUAUGUGGUUUAAUUCGAUGAUACGCGAGGAACCUUACCUGGGCUAGAAUGCUGGGAGACCGUGGGUGAAAGCUCACUUUGUAGCAAUACACUGCCAGUAAGGUGCUGCAUGGCUGUCGUCAGCUCGUGCCGUGAGGUGUUGGGUUAAGUCCCGCAACGAGCGCAACCCCUGCAUUUAGUUGCCAGCACGUAAUGGUGGGAACUCUAAAUGGACUGCCUACGCAAGUAGAGAGGAAGGAGGGGACGACGUCAAGUCAUCAUGGCCCUUACGCCUAGGGCUACACACGUGCUACAAUGGCGCAUACAGAGUGUUGCAAGCUAGCAAUAGCAAGCCAAUCACAAAAAGUGCGUCUCAGUUCGGAUUGGGGUCUGCAACUCGACCCCAUGAAGCUGGAAUCGCUAGUAAUCGCGCAUCAGCCAUGGCGCGGUGAAUACGUUCCCGGGCCUUGUACACACCGCCCGUCAAGCCAUGAAAGUUGGGGGUAUUUAAAGUCGGUAGCCGUAAGGCGCCGCCUAGAGUAAAACCGAUAAUUGGGGCUAAGUCGUAACAAGGUAGCCGUACCGGAAGGUGC